AGUUACCGCGAGUGAAGAAAUCAGGUUUUGAUGGUUGCCAGGGUGUCUCAACCUUUCUCGGGAAACUUCAACCGCUCCCUAAUUCUGAGGAAGGAAAGUGGUAUAAAAAUCUAAAUAAUGAAGACAAAGACCGCAGAGGACGAUGUUCAAGGCUGAAUCAAGAUGUAAGGAACGUUCACGAUACCUGCAUAGCAGGAUACCAGCAUUGCUAUGGUUUAAUGACUAUUAUGCAUCUUCUAUUAUUUUCUGGGAAUAUUUAUUGUGGUUAUUGUGGCCUUUUUCCCUUGUUGUUUAUUGUACAAUAGUGGAAAGCAGAUAAUUGUGUCUUUGUUCAUAGGCCACUGGACCAUAGAGAACCAUUUUCUAGACCUAAGGAAGAAGACUCCACCAUACCUGGAGACUGUGGAGAUUCUGCUGAAUGUGGUGACUAGAUAGGAGCCUACUUGUACCUAUAGAAUUCUCUGAUAAAAGAUAAAAGGGUGGGUCUGUGUACGAUAUUCAUUAAGUCUAUCAUUCAAACAGUAUUUAAUAAUCACUUAAACCAGGAACUGUCCUGGGUUUAGGAAUAUAAAAGGCAGGUGUGACUUUUGCAUUCAUGAAGUUUACAGUCUGGAGGGGGAAAUAAUAUGAUGCAGUCUAUUUGUAUUUAAGAGUACUUUAUGAACAAAGAAUAGUUUAUUCUUUAAUAGUUUAAUAGUUUACACUAUUAUUCAAGCAAUAGAACAAUUAUGUUUGUUUUUUAGAUUAUUUUACAAUUAUAGUUGGCAUAUUAUAUUAGUUUCAGAUAUACAACAUGGUGAUUUAUAAUCUGCUUGUUAAUAAAGAGAUGGUGAUUUCCAGGGUCAUGUAGAUCAUUUUCUUCAUUGCCUUCUCUGAUCAUUCCAUUCUCAAAAUGGAGCAUCCCAUUAUCCUAAUUACUUUCACAGGAGAGGCAUAUUGAUAUCAUUGCCUGUGAACAGUAUAGAAAUGCCUAGUUAUGUGGUUUUAAUCUUAUCUGCUGCUUACUCACACAUCGAUAGUACAUUAUUUUUCCAUCAAGAAGGCAUUUAUAAUGGAAAAACAAACUAUGACAGACUACUGUGGUUCUUCGUCAUAUAGGAGAAUUUUUUAAUGAAAGUAAUAAGGGAAGGUAGGGAUGAAGCAUUUACUUUAAGCAGAAACUUAGGUGUUCUGGUUUAAGAUCCAAGGAAGAGAGUCAAUGACUUUAGGUAAGACAUAUAACUUUCUUUAUCCUUCAUCUUAUCCUACUGUUACAGAGAAGGAUGUAGAAAAAUCUAAUACCCAUUUAUAACGUUUCCUGGACAUAUACUUAUGCAAAAUAAGACUGAGCCAUAGUUCUGUCAUCUAUUUGAUGUGGGUGAUACAUGCAUCCCUUAACUUUGGGGGUUAUAGAUGAUGCUAUGAGAAACAUCUUUUAAAAUAGUUGUGUCUGUAUCAAAGGAACCAAAAAUGGUGCCCUAAAAUGUGUUAAUUUAUAUAUAUUCUAUAUGUAGUUCAUAUUUUCUUGACACCUCUUUAAAAUAGUGCAUUUCCACUUGCCAGAAAAACAAGCAAUGCAGAAAUGAAGUGAUUUAUGGGAUGCCACAUGUUAUUGGGGUAUUGAAUCUAUACAAAUAUUCUCCAUAUAUUAAUAUUGAUUUUCAAAACAAAUAGUGCCCUACACAUAAACCCUGAGAAAGAAGACUAAGAGAACAGUAGAAAUGGGAUGUUAAAAUGAGACUUUGUUUUGGAGCACCAGUAAAGCCCACAAACUCCUAGUGUUUUAGAGAAGGCCAACAGUGCAGAACUAUGUAACACAUGCCAUGUACCCCUUAUAUCCUAAAGCAGUGUGCCGGAGCACAUCAAUUGUAGCCCUGACUGUGGCUAUAAUUCACUCUGGGACCCAGAUUUAGGGAGUAGCCACUCUCUGUAACACUGUUGUCAUGACAAAGGGAAAGGAAAACAUAGUGAACCCCAUGCUGGCUGUUAAAAGUUCUGCCUUGAAGUGACACAUAUUACUUCUGUUUAAGUCAUAUACCUGAGUUCAGGACAGGAAUGUAUAAUCUUGCAGAGAGGGGAACUAAGUAAAGGUAAAUACAGUUCACAACAAUAUGGGAUUGAAAUGAAAUCUCAUUCAAGAUCCAGGGAAGAAUGAAUUCACAGAGUUGUUUUCAGAUUGCUUUCUGCUUGUACCUCAUGCUGACAGAUUGCAUUUUCCAAAAAUGUCACAUGAUAUCUCUCAACCUACAUGUUUUUCUAGAACCUUGCAACUUCCUAUCAAGUAAUGGAGUCUAAUUAAACAUCAUCGUCAAUAUUAGUUCAUUAAUUGUGGGAAAUCUAUCAUAGUAAUGUAAGGUGUUAAUAAUAGGGUGAACUAUUAUGGGAACUUUCUGUACUAUCGUUGCAACUUUUCUGUAAAUCUUAAAACUUCUAAAAUAAAAAUAACGUUUAUUUUUAAAAAGUCAAAGUGAACAGAAAUAAAAAUUAAAAAGUAGUAGAGUGCAGGAAAAAAAAGUUACAACUCAAGAGAGCCAGCUUGGUUGGGUACCUUUGGAAAGGUAAGAAUUCAUAAAAUUGGGAAUGUGCCAUCAUAGGUAGAAAGCAUUGUCUUGUAUACCAAGUGGUCAAAAACAGCACUUUCAACUUGAAAUCGAACCAGGAGGAUGAAGAAUUAGUGCUCAGGAGGGACACCUGAUUUGACAUCCAGUAUGUGAAUAUGUACCCUAGACGAAGAAAAGUAGUUAACAAAAUCAAAUUACUACUGAUAGAAAGGCCAUUGUUUGGAUCACUUGCUGCAGAGAAGAACUUUUUGGGUGAGUAGUAGAGAAAACCAAAAGUGAGUGCAGGCAGCUUGUGUUUAGGUAUGUUUUUAUAAUCAUUUUUAUAUUCUUAGGACGGGUGGUGUUUUUGUCACACUUCUCAAACUUAAUGUUGGAAAGAUGACAUAGUGGAAAUGGUUUCUGAAAGUGAGAACCACCAUUAGACUGAUGGAUUUGCCUUUUUAAAUUUUGCAAUCUUGGAUAAACAUUUAAUUAUGUUGUGACUCAGUUUUACCAUUUGUAUAAUAACACAUGCCUUACCUAGACAUGACAGCAUUGUAUUGUUGAAAAAAUAAAUGUGAAUGUGUUAUCAAAACUGCUAAGUGAUAUGGAAUUAUGAAUUAGCUGGAAUCCUUGGGGGUACAACCAACAGAAAUUAAGUUCUAAUCUAGAGGGGAGAUUUAUUUAAGGUAGUACACAAAAUCAAAGGAAAGAUUUCAAAGAAGGAGACAUGUAAAAGAGGUGAGUUGCCCUGUUUUCCACUCCACCCAAAUUCUGGUAAUGGGACUUUCCCUUCCAUAUCACUAUCACCUUUUUGAAUGGCAAUGACCAUCUUUAUUUUCAGGGAUCUUAACCAAGGUCUCGGCCAUUGACUAUAGGAUUGUCUACAUGGGGCAGUGUGAAUGGGACUCAGCAAAUUCUUAGGCCAUGAUUAGACAUUAUGUCUUUGGAAAAUUCAUUGGUGAUGUGGGCAGUUACUGAAGUCCCUCACUAUUCAGCACAAAGCAGAUUAGUUCACAUGACUGCAGCAGGGGUAAUGAUUUCUAGAAAGGCAGUAAAUGAUCUGCUAAUAGUCUUGUUUAUUUGACACCCACACUGCUCUGGUCACUGGCAUUGACAAUGUUGGUGUUUCUUGAUGCUGACUCUGCUCCUUUCCAUGUGUUCUGUGCAGAAAUCUCUGCCAAGUUUGAGCUCUAUCCAACUCUUGAACCCCUCUCUUAGCCAAGAUGACCUUUAAUUGUUAUGGCAUAAACUAUGCUCGGCUUCUUUCAGGGCUUAUACUUUUAAUUUGCAAGAGCCUUCUUGUCUCUAAAGUAUGGGUCAUGAGAAUCAAAAGUUUUGACUUUCAAUUGCAUUUUUUUAAAUACCAGAUUUCAAAGCAUAUUUUUAAAGUAAAAAAAAAAACUAAACCAUUUUGCAUUUCUGAUUUUACAGCCAUAAUUCUUUUUGAGGCAGUGAAAAUGACACUGACUUAUAAAGGUCAUGAGCAAGAAUGUGCAGAAAAGAAAAGCACACAAUAUUUUCAAGACAUUUUCUCUCCAUGGGCUCAACAACCAGAGAAUUCUCAGACAACUUUCAUUGAACUAUUUCACACUGUACAUGCAGCUAAAGCUUUCAUUUGCAUAUCCUCUGGUAUAACCUGUGCCUAGGACCAGCUAUAUCAUUUGUGGAGCCCAGAGCAAAAUGAAAACGCUGAGUCCGUUGCUCAAAAAUUAUUUAGUGCUCUGUGAAAGACAAUUAAACCUAGUACAGGGCCUUUCUAAGCAUAAGGCCUUGUUCACCUGCCCAGAAUUGCAUGCUCAUGAAGCCAUACCCUAAAAACAAGUCCAGGCCUGAGUGACCAGCAGUAGUCCCCAACCCCCUAGCCAUAGAUCUCAGCAGUCCGUGGCCUGUUAGGAAUCUGGGCCGCACAGUAGGAGGUAAGUGGCUGGCAAGCAAGCAAAGCAUCUGUAUUUGCAGCCACUCCCCAGCGCUAGCAUCACUGCCUCAGCUCCACUUCACAUCAUCAGUAUUAGAUUCUCAGGAGCACUGGUCCCUGGUGCCAAAAAGUUGGGGACCACUGAUCUACAGGUUCAUUUAGUGGAGCUCCGUAUUUCUGUCAGAGAGUGCUAUGUGUUGUACAAGUCAUUCUUAUUUUAGAGGCACAAUAAAAUCACACAUCUGGCCUUCUCUUGCAAUCAGGAAUUUCCAUGAAAAGCGCCUGUGUAAAAGCCUCACUCCCUACCUGUCAAUCAACCAGAUUCAAAUCAUCACCUGGGAGACUGCCUGCCAAGUAUUACACUGAACUGUCAAAUGAAGGAAAAAUAAAAUUCUAUUAUGUAAAGCCAUUGAAA